UACGUAGGGCGCAAGCGUUAUCCGGAAUUAUUGGGCGUAAAGAGCUCGUAGGCGGUUGUCGCGUCUGCCGUGAAAGUCCGGGGCUCAACUCCGGAUCUGCGGUGGGUACGGGGCAGACUAGAGUGAUGUAGGGGAGACUGGAAUUCCUGGUGUAGCGGUGAAAUGCGCAGAUAUCAGGAGGAACACCGAUGGCGAAGGCAGGUCUCUGGGCCACUACUGACGGCUGAGAAGCGAAAGCAUGGGGAGCGAACAGG
rnacentral:rRNA from 1 species